rnacentral:rRNA from 1 species
CCUACGGGAGGCAGCAGUGGGGAAUAUUGGACAAUGGGGGGAACCCUGAUCCAGCCAUGCCGCGUGUGUGAAGAAGGCCCUCGGGUUGUAAAGCACUUUCAGUGAGGAAGAACGCCUGGUGGUUAAUACCCAUCAGGAAAGACAUCACUCACAGAAGAAGCACCGGCUAACUCCGUGCCAGCAGCCGCGGUAAUACGCAGGGUGCGAGCGUUAAUCGGAAUUACUGGGCGUAAAGCGCGCGUAGGUGGCUUGAUAAGCCGGUUGUGAAAGCCCCGGGCUCAACCUGGGAACGGCAUCCGGAACUGUCAAGCUAGAGUGCAGGAGAGGAAGGUAGAAUUCCCGGUGUAGCGGUGAAAUGCGUAGAGAUCGGGAGGAAUACCAGUGGCGAAGGCGGCCUUCUGGACUGACACUGACACUGAGGUGCGAAAGCGUGGGUAGCAAACAGGAUUAGAUACCCCGGUAGUC